AAGGGACAGCAGCCGCCGCGGUAAUACAGAGGGUGCGAGCGUUAAUCGGAUUUACUGGGCGUAAAGCGUGCGUAGGCGGCUUCUUAAGUCGGAUGUGAAAUCCCUGAGCUUAACUUAGGAAUUGCAUUCGAUACUGGGAAGCUAGAGUAUGGGAGAGGAUGGUAGAAUUCCAGGUGUAGCGGUGAAAUGCGUAGAGAUCUGGAGGAAUACCGAUGGCGAAGGCAGCCAUCUGGCCUAAUACUGACGCUGAGGUACGAAAGCAUGGGGAGCAAACAGGAUUAGAUACCCCGGUAGUCCCUGUCUCUUAUAA
rnacentral:rRNA from 1 species